GUAGUUUGACAGAGUUUGUCGAGGAUGGAUGUUUUUUGACAGCUCAGUAGAUGAACUUCAUCUGACUAAAUUUCAUCAUUUUAAGUGAAGUAGCCGCGACCCUAAAAUAAGUUAAAUUAGGUGUUCAAGGAAAACCCUAAUUUAAAGUGGCCUGCCGAUAACAUCUGACUUGAGUGAUGUCAGGUAGAGUGGGUGUUGAGGCGUGAAACAUAAACCCGAAGCAAACUUCGGUGUUCAUUGCCGCAACCCACAUGCUGUGCGCACAUCACCUUGUGAGGAAUUUUCUCCACUUUUCUGGAGUUGUAUGUUCUGAGAAGCGGUGAGUGAAGAUAACACUCGGGUGCAGAAGGACAGUUGAAUUAGUAAUUCUGUUGACAAUGGUGUUUCGCUUCACGUGGACCGGCCUAGUGAAGGUUUCCUAGAGCGCAGCAACUCCAUUCGAUAGCAAACCGUUGCCCAACAAUGCCGUAUUGGAUUGCAGAGUAAACCUGUGCAAUAUAUAAAGUAGUUUGAUUGGUGACAAUUGAGUCUCAGGAUGUAUGUUUGUCUGAGUUUGCAGAGGCAAGUAGUGAGCUGUGUGCAUAUUCAAUCCCUCUGCAAACCCGCUGAAAAACAGGCCAAUCAGGUUGUACAUUUCCUAAUCCAAUCCAGAUGAUAAACAAUGGAACGAUCACUAAAUGCACUGAGGGAAGAGUCAAGGUCAUGCUAGCACUCUGGAAAUAAAAUACCUGUUCUACAA